rnacentral:rRNA from 1 species
CGUCCAGACUCCUACGGGAGGCAGCAGUGGGGGAUAUUGCACAAUGGGGGAAACCCUGAUGCAGCGACGCCGCGUGGGCGAAGAAGUAUUUCGGUCUGUAAAUCCCUAUCAGCAGGGAAGAAGAAAUGACGGUACCUGAGUAAGAAGCACCGGCUAAAUACGUGCCAGCAGCCGCGGUAAUACGUAUGGUGCAAGCGUUAUCCGGAUUUACUGGGUGUAAAGGGAGCGCAGGCGGCACGGCAAGCCUGAUGUGAAAGCCCGCGGCCCAACCGCGGGACUGCAUUGGGAACUACCGGGCUGGAGUGCCGGAGAGGUAGGCGGAAUUCCUAGUGUAGCGGUGAAAUGCGUAGAUAUUAGGAGGAACACCAGUGGCGAAGGCGGCCUGCUGGGCUUUUACUGACGCUGAGGCUCGAAAGUGUGGGGAGCAAACAGGAUUAGAUACCCUCGUA